rnacentral:tRNA from 1 species
GGCGAGGUGGCCGAGUGGUUAAGGCGAUAGACUAGAAAUCUAUUGUGCUCUGCGUGCGUGGGAUCGAAUCCCACCCUCGUCG